UGUAUAGUCUGUGUCAUGUGUGGAAUUGAUGUUACGUUUACCUUUUUCUUUUUCUUUUUUGGCAGCAUGCUGGUAUGGAGAUCCAAAUCCUUGACCUUGUGUUAUAACACCACGCUGUAACCAACUGAGCUAACUGGCUACCCCUAUGUUCACUUGAUGCGGUUUCCUUCCUGUAUCUUUUUCUACACUGUGGCAUAUGCUUGAGUUUUGAGAAAUGAUCGAGGCCACGUGACUGGAAGAUGACCUUGGGCACCAGCCAAGUACAUUGGCAUGAAUCAAAAUCUUGCAGGGUCCUGAGAUAACAGCAAAGAUGAGAACAGAAACCAGACGAGGCCUUGGCAAGACCCUGUACCUGACCCAUACAAAUGGACCCCUGGGGGCGGUAACAUUCUGGGUGCCCAGGAUUUGAGAACAGGGUAAACUAAGUCAGGGAUGGAGGAAGAAUUUAAGAUUUGCCUUAAUCAUUCAAAUGUUUUAAACACACUGAUCUAUUACACAUUAAAAUAAAUAAAAUAUUCAAAAUAAGUUUAUAAUUAAAUAAAGAAUUUACAACUCAA